GAUGAACGCUGGCGGCGUGCCUAAUACAUGCAAGUCGAGCGAACAGAUGAGGCGCUUGCUCCUCUGACGUUAGCGGCGGACGGGUGAGUAACACGUGGAUAACCUACCUAUCAGACUGGGAUAACUUCGGGAAACCGGCGCUAAUACCGGAUUAUAUAUUGAACCGCAUGGUUCAAUAGUGAAAGACGGUUUUGCUGUCACUUCUAGAUGGAUCCGCGCCGCAUUAGCUAGUUGGUAAGGUAACGGCUUACCAAGGCAACGAUGCGUAGCCGACCUGAGAGGGUGAUCGGCCACACUGGAACUGAGACACGGUCCAGACUCCUACGGGAGGCAGCAGUAGGGAAUCUUCCGCAAAGGGCGAAAGCCUGACGGAGCAACGCCGCGUGAGUGAUGAAGGUCUUCGGAUCGUAAAACUCUGUUAUUAGGGAAGAACAAAUGUGUAAGUAACUAUGCACGUCUUGACGGUACCUAAUCAGAAAGCCACGGCUAACUACGUG
rnacentral:rRNA from 1 species